GAAAUGCGAUAAGUAAUGUGAAUUGCAGAAUUCAGUGAAUCAUCAAAUCUUUGAACGCACAUUGCGCUCCUUGGUAUUCCGGGGAGCAUGCCUGUUUGAGAAUCAUUAAAAUCAUCAUUAUCUCUUGAGGUUAAUACUUCUUGGGAAAAUGGAAUUGAGCUGUUUGCAUUUGCAAUGGCUUAAAAUUGAGUGUCUGAAGCUGUUAUUACAAGCAACGUGACAUUAAUGCUUGAAAAGGUUAUCCUUAGAUUCAUUAUCGUCUGUUCUCUGUAAUAAAUAGUGGAUGCAUUGUGUCAUGGUGAAAACCUUUCGCUUUGACUCGAAAAGUUUACUUAAUGUAUUCUUUUCAAACUUGGUCUCAAAUCAGGUAGGAAAACCCGCUGAACUUAA
rnacentral:misc_RNA from 1 species